rnacentral:rRNA from 1 species
GUUGACCUCGGAUCAGGUAGGGAUACCCGCUGAACUUAAGCAUAUCAAUAAGCGGAGGAAAAGAAACCAACAGGGAUUGCUCUAGUAACGGCGAGUGAAGCAGCAAUAGCUCAAAUUUGAAAUCUGGCGUCUUCGGCGUCCGAGUUGUAAUUUGUAGAGGAUGCUUCUGAGUAGCCACCGACCUAAGUUCCUUGGAACAGGACGUCAUAGAGGGUGAGAAUCCCGUAUGCGGUCGGAA